UACGAGGAUGCAAGCGUUAUCCGGAAUCAUUGGGUUUAAAGGGUCCGUAGGCGGUUUAGUAAGUCAGUGGUGAAAGCCCAUCGCUCGACGGUGGAACGGCCAUUGAUACUGCUGAACUUGAAUUAUUAGGAAGUAACUAGAAUAUGUAGUGUAGCGGUGAAAUGCUUAGAGAUUACAUGGAAUACCAAUUGCGAAGGCAGGUUACUACUAAUUGAUUGACGCUGAUGGACGAAAGCGUGGGUAGCGAACAGG
rnacentral:rRNA from 1 species